UGCCUAAACUCUAUUUAUAUGGAGCAUGGCAUAAAAAAAUCCCAUCCCUGAUACUGAGCUCCCCGUUCAGUACUCAGGGAUGGGUCAUGGCCGAAAGGUUAUGGGCAAUUGAAAGAUUGUC
rnacentral:sRNA from 12 species